GGAUUGUAGCUCAGCGGUAGAGCAUUCGCUUAGCAAGUGUGAGGCCCUGGGUUCGAUCCUAAGUACCA
rnacentral:tRNA from 1 species